ACGAACGCUGGCGGCGUGCUUAACACAUGCAAGUCGAACGGAAAGGCCCUGCUUUUGUGGGGUGCUCGAGUGGCGAACGGGUGAGUAACACGUGAGUAACCUGCCCUUGACUUUGGGAUAACUUCAGGAAACUGGGGCUAAUACCGGUUAGGAGCUCCUGCUGCAUGGUGGGGGUUGGAAAGUUUCGGCGGUUGGGGAUGGACUCGCGGCUUAUCAGCUUGUUGGUGGGGUAGUGGCUUACCAAGGCAUUGACGGGUAGCCUGCCUGAGAGGGUGACCGGCCACAUUGGGACUGAGGUACGGCCCAGACUCCUACGGGGGGCAGCAGUGGGGAAUAUUGCACAAUGGGCGGAAGCCUGAUGCAGCAACGCCGCGUGCGGGAUGACGGCCUUCGGGUUGUAAACCGCUGUCGCCUGUGACGAAGCGUGAGUGACGGUAAUGGGUAAAGAAGCACCGGCUAACUACGUG
rnacentral:rRNA from 1 species